rnacentral:rRNA from 1 species
AUUGAACGCUGGCGGCAGGCCUAACACAUGCAAGUCGAACGAGUGGCGGACGGGUGAGUAAUGUCUGGGAAACUGCCUGAUGGAGGGGGAUAACUACUGGAAACGGUAGCUAAUACCGCAUACCAUCGGAUGUGCCCAGAUGGGAUUAGCUAGUAGGUGGGGAAAAGGCUCACCUAGGCGACGAUCCCUAGCUGGUCUGAGAGGAUAACCGGCCACCCUGGAACUGAGACACGGUCCAGACUCCUACGGGAGGCAGCGGGGGGGAAUUUUGCACAAUGGGCGCAAGCCUGAUGAAGCCAUGCCGGUGGUAUAAAGAGGGCCUUCGGGUUGUAAAGUACUUUCAGCGGGGAGGCGUUACACGCGGAAGAAGCACCGGCUACCUCCUUGCCAGCAGCCGCGGUAAUC